AACGAACGCUGGUGGCAGGCCUAACACAUGCAAGUCGAGCGAGCCCUUCGGGGCUAGCGGCGGACGGGUGAGUAACGCGUGGGAACGUGCCCUUCUCUACGGAAUAGCCUCGGGAAACUGAGAGUAAUACCGUAUACGCCCUUCGGGGGAAAGAUUUAUCGGAGAAGGAUCGGCCCGCGUUGGAUUAGGUAGUUGGUGGGGUAAUGGCCUACCAAGCCGACGAUCCAUAGCUGGUUUGAGAGGAUGAUCAGCCACACUGGGACUGAGACACGGCCCAGACUCCUACGGGAGGCAGCAGUGGGGAAUCUUAGACAAUGGGGGAAACCCUGAUCUAGCCAUGCCGCGUGAGUGACGAAGGCCUUAGGGUCGUAAAGCUCUUUCGCUGGGGAAGAUAAUGACGGUACCCAGUAAAGAAACCCCGGCUAACUCCGUGCCAGCCGCCGCCGUAAAAC
rnacentral:rRNA from 1 species